rnacentral:rRNA from 1 species
GAUGAACGCUGGCGGCGUGCUUAACACAUGCAAGUCGAACGAGAAAUGUAGACGGAAACCUUCGGGCGGAAGCCUUAAUUUCGAGUGGCGGACGGGUGAGUAACGCGUGGGUAACCUGCCUCAUACAGGGGGAUAACAGUUGGAAACGACUGUUAAUACCGCAUAAGACCACAGCAUCGCAUGAUGCGGGGGUAAAAACUCCGGUGGUAUGAGAUGGACCCGCGUUCGAUUAGCCAGUUGGCGGGGUAACGGCCCACCAAAGCGACGAUCGAUAGCCGAUCUGAGAGGAUGACCGGCCACAUUGGGACUGAGACACGGCCCAAACUCCUACGGGAGGCAGCAGUGGGGAAUAUUGCACAAUGGGGGAAACCCUGAUGCAGCGACGCCGCGUGAGUGAAGAAGUACUUCGGUAUGUAAAGCUCUAUCAGCAGGGAAGAAAAUGACGGUACCUGAGUAAGAAGCCCCGGCUAACUACGUG